rnacentral:rRNA from 1 species
GAUGAACGCUGGCGGCGUGCCUAAUACAUGCAAGUCGAGCGAACAGACGAGGAGCUUGCUCCUCUGACGUUAGCGGCGGACGGGUGAGUAACACGUGGAUAACCUACCUAUAAGACUGGGAUAACUUCGGGAAACCGGAGCUAAUACCGGAUAAUAUAUUGAACCGCAUGGUUCAAUAGUGAAAGACGGUUUUGCUGUCACUUAUAGAUGGAUCCGCGCCGCAUUAGCUAGUUGGUAAGGUAACGGCUUACCAAGGCAACGAUGCGGAGCCGACCUGAGAGGGUGAUCGGCCACACGGGAACUGAGACACGGUCCAGACUCCUACGGGAGGCAGCAGUAGGGAAUCUUCCGCAAUGGGCGAAAGCCUGACGGAGCAACGCCGCGUGAGUGAUGAAGGUCUUCGGAUCGUAAAACUCUGUUAUUAGGGAAGAACAAAUGUGUAAGUAACUAUGCACGUCUUGACGGUACCUAAUCAGAAAGCCACGGCUAACUACGUG